UACGUAGGGUGCAAGCGUUGUCCGGAAUUAUUGGGCGUAAAGGGCUCGUAGGCGGUCCAUCACGUCGGGAGUGAAAAGCUGGGGCUUAACCCCAGUCCUGCUUCCGAUACGGGGUGGACUAGAGGGUAGCAGGGAGAAACGGGAAAUUUCCCUGGUGUAGCGGGUGAAAUGCGCAGAUAUCAGGGAGGGAAACACCCGGGUGGGCGAAAGGGCGGGUUUCUCCUUUGGGCCCUUUACCCUGACGCUGAGGGAAAGCGAAAGCGUGGGAGCAAACAGGG
rnacentral:rRNA from 1 species